rnacentral:rRNA from 1 species
AACGAACGCUGGCGGCAUGCCUAACACAUGCAAGUCGAACGAGACCUUCGGGUCUAGUGGCGCACGGGUGCGUAACGCGUGGGAACCUGCCCUUAGGUUCGGAAUAACUCCCCGAAAGGGGUGCUAAUACCGGAUAAUGUCUUCGGACCAAAGAUUUAUCGCCUUUGGAUGGGCCCGCGUUGGAUUAGCUAGUUGGUAGGGUAAAAGCCUACCAAGGCGACGAUCCAUAGCUGGUCUGAGAGGAUGAUCAGCCACACUGGGACUGAGACACGGCCCAGACUCCUACGGGAGGCAGCAGUGGGGGAAUAUUGGACAAUGGGCGAAAGCCUGAUCCAGCAAUGCCGCGUGAGUGAUGAAGGCCUUAGGGUUGUAAAGCUCUUUUACCCGGGAUGAUAAUGACAGUACCGGGAGAAUAAGCUCCGGCUAACUCCGUG